UUAGCGUAUCUUAGCUUAUCUCUGAUACGAUAUGAUACCUUUCGAUACGUAUCUUAAUUUUGGUCGACCGAUACGAUGACCGAUACCGAUACUUUAAUCCUUGGUCUUGGGUCAUGAUGGUUCUUUUGAUUAAGGCAGAAGCUCUAUGUUAAGGGUGUGUUACAAGGUUGUCCUGCCCAGUUUUGGUUCAGGUUGCAGGUCAAUUUGCCUUCCUAAACCUUAACUCAGAACACUGGUGUCUAAGUAAUUAUAGUUGGUUUGUAAAGUAAGAACUUAUUUUGGUGAAUGGUGAUUGGAUGAUCAUUGUGAUGUGGAUCCAGGUUCCGAAACCGAAAUUGGAUCGCUUAUGGCCCCACAAGAAUAAUAGAUAGUUCAAACUGAGAGUUUGGGUGGCAAAUCCGUAAUAUCCAAAACAAAUAGGUCUUUAGAAGUAAGUACAUAGCAACUGGGGUAGUUUUGGAAUUAAAACUUUAAAAUAAGGGAUUAUUCUAGAAAUUUAAGGAAAGUUGGAUAAAUAUAACUAAAGCUCAGUCAAAGGGGGGUUUUAUGUAAUUAUGGCAGUCUGUCCAUACUUGAAUAUAGAGCACUAGCCUUCUUCAACCUUUAGCAUUCACGAUAAAACUCAGAACUAGCGGAGACCUAGGCUGGUUUCGAUUGAGAGAAGUCACCCAACUCUGCUUUGCUCACCUUGAAACUUCCCACGAAGGUGGGAAUCUCUAUGGGCUCUCGUUUUCAACCGAUGGAUAUCUCGAAUCAUCAACCAAAGGAGAUUGAUUACUGCUGCAAAUUGAACCUGGCGGAACUGUGGAACCAGAUCUGAAAUUCUGAGAUCGUUCUCCAAUACUAGAGCUGGAAGUACCGCCCAGAACAGAGUAUUCUCAGGUAUGGGGAAUAAACAACAAAGAAAUAGGGAAAA